rnacentral:rRNA from 1 species
UACCAGCUUGCUGGUAUGAUUAGUGGCGAACGGGUGAGUAAUGCUUAGGAAUCUGCCUAUUAGUGGGGGACAACAUUCCGAAAGGAAUGCUAAUACCGCAUACGUCCUAUGGGAGAAAGCAGGGGAUCGCAAGACCUUGCGCUAAUAGAUGAGCCUAAGUCGGAUUAGCUAGUUGGUGGGGUAAAGGCCUACCAAGGCGACGAUCUGUAGCUGGUCUGAGAGGAUGAUCAGCCACACUGGGACUGAGACACGGCCCAGACUCCUACGGGAGGCAGCAGUGGGGAAUAUUGGACAAUGGGCGAAAGCCUGAUCCAGCCAUGCCGCGUGUGUGAAGAAGGCCUUUUGGUUGUAAAGCACUUUAAGUGGGGAGGAAAAGCUAAUAAUUAAUACCUAUUAGCCCUGACGUUACCCACAGAAUAAGCACCGGCUAACUCUGUGCCAGCAGCCGCGGUAAUACAGAGGGUGCAAGCGUUAAUCGGAAUUACUGGGCGUAAAGCGAGCGUAGGUGGUCAUUUAAGUCAGAUGUGAAAUCCCCGGGCUUAACCUGGGAACUGCAUCUGAUACUGGGUGACUAGAGUAGGUGAGAGGGAAGUAGAAUUCCAGGUGUAGCGGUGAAAUGCGUAGAGAUCUGGAGGAAUACCGAUGGCGAAGGCAGCUUCCUGGCAUCAUACUGACACUGAGGUUCGAAAGCGUGGGUAGCAAACAGGAUUAGAUACCCUGGUAGUCCACGCCGUAAACGAUGUCUACCAGUCGUUGGGUCUCUUGAAGACUUAGUGACGCAGUUAACGCGAUAAGUAGACCGCCUGGGGAGUACGGCCGCAAGGUUAAAACUCAAAUGAAUUGACGGGGGCCCGCACAAGCGGUGGAGCAUGUGGUUUAAUUCGA